rnacentral:rRNA from 1 species
GUCCUACGGGACGCAGCAGUGAGGAAUAUUGGUCAAUGGGCGAGAGCCUGAACCAGCCAAGUCGCGUGAGGGAAGACGGUCCUAUGGAUUGUAAACCUCUUUUGCCGGGGAGCAAAAAGCGGUACGUGUACCGCAUCGAGAGUACCCGGAGAAAAAGCAUCGGCUAACUCCGUGCCAGCAGCCGCGGUAAUACGGAGGAUGCGAGCGUUAUCCGGAUUUAUUGGGUUUAAAGGGUGCGCAGGCGGUCCUGCGAGUCUGGAGUGAAACGCAUGAGCUCAACUCAUGCAUGGCUUUGGAAACUGGAG